CAUUUGGAACUUUCUUAGACUAUCCACAUCAGCAACUCUUCUAUGGUUGAUCCACAUCAGCAUCCUCAAAACAGCCUCAAUCGUUCUUCAAUUUCCACUCUCUUCAUCGUAACUGUCCUUCAACCAUUCUCUUCCAAAUUCCCAAAACGGUUCUCAAAUCAUUUUUCCUCAUAACUUCCCUUCAACCAUCCUCUUCCAAAUUCUCAAACCGUUUACAAUCCACAAUCCAUUGCGUUUCUGUUUUUUAUGGCAGAUUCUUCGCUCUCCUAUUUUUCUCUUUCUCACUAUCAAUCCUGAUUCUCGAUCCUGAUAUUUUGCUUCCUUCCAUUGCUUGCGCUUCCGCUGCUUCCUCCAAAGGCGUCGAGGUUUUUUUACUUUUUUUGUUCUUCUUUGAUUUCAUCUUCGUGUAUGGUGUCUGCGGCUGCGUCGAUCUUGGCCGGAAGGAUGAUGCUCGCGGUGAUUGGUUUCGCUUUCUCACGACCCUUCAGAGUUGUCGGGUUUAAUUAAACGGUUCUCGAUGUCAAUACAGAAGCUUGAUCUGCAGACAAAUCACGAUACAUAACGUAUCCAACCCAAAACGCGAAAGAGAUUUGAAGAAAAUACCGGUCUGUUAUGAGAGCACAAAAUCGAGGUACGCUGUUUAUCUCUUCUUCUUAUCACUCGAAUUGUUGUGUUAAUGGUGGAAUCGAUGAGAUAGGUGUGUAUCGGUUUCGAUUGUUCAAACAGUGGUUCUGGACUUAUAUUUUGAUCUAUUUACUGAGCUAUGGUUUAUUUUUCUUAUUGCUAAUAGAUUUAAUUAAAAAUCAUAGUGAAAAUAUCAACCACAAAAUACAGCAAGAAUCAAUCAGAUGCACAAUUCAAUUUUAUUUAGAUUCAAACACAAUAAAGCAGAGCAACAAUAAUUCGAGUGAAUUUUACAGGGAAGGGUUCAAAAUAACUCAAUACGAAAUUGGAAUUUCAUCACAAUAAAGAUGAAACUCUCAAUUAGCAGAGGUUGCCCUUAGUGAGGGUAUGCACUUAGCUUCUGCAGGUACGUUCGGGUUGUCUUCUUUGUGUAUGCACUUAGCUUCUGUAGUGAGGUGGUUACAACAACCACACUUGGCUUGAUGAUAUGAUGUCGAGAGGUAUAAUGCUUUGGCACUUGAAUCUGUACAAAGAGGGAUGCUGCGGUGGGACUCUUUUUUGUUGGGGGGAGAAAGCGCCUAUUAAUAACCAAAAAUCUUGAAUUAUUGCCUAUUGAACAUUGAUGUUUGAGUUUUUUUCACUCUGAAGAUUAUACCAACAGAACUUAAUAUUGUAGGCAGUACAUGCUGCACCUUGGUUCUAAUGUUGUCUCAGGAUGGGAAAAGGCAUAAGAUGAGGCUUUGGCAUUGAAGGAUCAUCUAGAAUCAGUUACUCUUUCGAAACUCAUUGUUGAUGAUCGUGCGUCCCAUUUGGAUGGUGCUCUUAAAGAGUGUCUGCGACUGAUACGGAACCUUAAGGAAGAACAUGAACAAAAAAUACAGGAAGUUAAGUGAUCCAUACUUUUUAUCACAACUCUAUUACUGUGGCAUUUUUGCACUCCUCUGUGAUAACCAUGUCGUCGAUACAUGUUCAACACGAUACACCCUUGCGAACUUAUAAUCACAUCACACAGAGUUCACACUGUUUUUGAUUCGGUGACGACAUGUUUUGGCAUAGAAGCAUUAUCAAGGUCUCACCUUAUAGCGGAAAAGUGGAUGAUUCCAUCGAUAAUUAUUCUUGAUAUUGACCACACAUCGGUUCGUCGGGCCAUGGGCAAUUUCUAUUCUCUUAGUGUAGUCAUCUCUUUUAAUCUUCCCAUCACCUCACUGUUUGAUUAAUUCACUACUAUAUUGCAGAAGAAGAAUAGGAUGAAAGCGGAUUGUAAGGUGAAGUGGAUAGCUGUAGCAGUGAAAAUCCGUUUUAACGUCUUUAUGAUUAUGCAAAACAGAAUUCGGGAUCUUUGAGAUCUGCUGUUGGAACCGUCGAAGGUACUAUUACUACAGUUAUUGGUCGUGUUUAUCACAAAUUCAAGCCUCUCCCUCAAGAUGUCCUCCUUUUUUUUUGACAAUAAGGUCUCUCUCUCUCAUUCAUUGUUUCCAUUAUGUAGAUUUUUUAUUUGCUGCUAUUUUUUUAUGAGGAUUAUUGCAUUUGAAUUCAAUACUCUAAGAACCAUUACUGUUUCAA